rnacentral:rRNA from 1 species
CAGCCGCCGCGGGAAUACGGAGGGAGCUAGCGUUGUUCGGAAUCACUGGGCGUAAAGCGCACGUAGGCGGCUAUUCAAGUCAGGGGUGAAAGCCCGGGGCUCAACCCCGGAACUGCCUUUGAAACUAGAUAGCUUGAAUCUUGGAGAGGCGAGUGGAAUUCCGAGUGUAGAGGUGAAAUUCGUAGAUAUUCGGAAGAACACCAGUGGCGAAGGCGACUCGCUGGACAAGUAUUGACGCUGAGGUGCGAAAGCGUGGGGAGCAAACAGGAUUAGAUACCCCGGUAGUCCCUGUCUCUUAUAC